CAGUGGAAAUCACAGUUCAUGUCGAGGUCCACGAACUGCCAAACACCCUGCAUACUAGAUGGUUCUUUUGGAGAAGGAAUAGCUGCUUCAGAACUACUCAACAUGAAAACAACAGCUAACAUGGAGGGUCUGUCCAUAGCAUCUUCUUGCACACACAAGAGCCCGAUUUGAAUGCAUUUCAAGACUUCUUGAGGGUGAUAUAACUCCUGCAAUGAUGAAUCAACUAUCUCCAAUGCUCUCUCUUCUCUCCAUAGCUCCCACACCUGUGUGGUUCAUAGCAUUAACAAACAAGAGGAGAUGAUAGUCAACAUCAAAUUGUAUCUAUUGUAGUCAGUACUGCUAGAAGUCUCUUACAUGCCCUAUCAAGGUCAAGGAAGAAUCCUGUAGAUUAUAUCUGUUGUUCCUCUUGCCACUUACAAUCUCUAAUAACAUAACCCCGAAACUAAACACAUCUGAUUUCACCGAAAUUUUGCCAAACGCAGCAUACUCUGGUGACAUGUAUCCACUGCAAAGGAAAAAUAGGCAGAUAGUCCUUGAUGUUAACUAAAUUUUAUACUCAUCAUUCAUGAAUAUUAUGUCAAUCUCUCUUUUCAGA